UACGAAGGGGGCUAGCGUUGCUCGGAAUUACUGGGCGUAAAGGGAGCGUAGGCGGACAGUUAAGUCAGUGGUGAAAGCCCAGAGCUCAACUCUGGAAUUGCCUUUGAUACUGACUGUCUUGAGUAUGGGAGAGGUAUGCGGAACUCCGAGUGUAGAGGUGAAAUUCGUAGAUAUUCGGAAGAACACCAGUGGCGAAGGCGGCAUACUGGCCCAUUACUGACGCUGAGGCUCGAAAGCGUAGGGAGCAAACAGG
rnacentral:rRNA from 1 species